GCUCCCCGCAGCCGCAUCCCUCUUCUCGCGCUUCUUCCUCCCCACGACCCCACCUCGCCCCGCGCCGCCAUCUCCGCCUCCUCUCUCACGUCCUCCCUGCCGCCAUGGCCUAGCCCACCCUCGUCAUCGACCUUCCCAAGCCCACUCUCUCUCGAGGGUGCUACUGGUUGCAAUCUGGACGAAGAAAAAGAGACCCCGGAAGAAGUUAGAGCGUCCUGGUGGUGGCUAGAUCGAUGCGGUCGACGACGAGUGCCAGUGAGCGACGGGGAGGCCCCUACCUCUCCGCACCUUCUCCCAGGUUCCCGAUCUGGAGCGGGUGGGACGGACACCGGCGAGGCCAGCCUCCCCUUGACACGAAGCUGGAGCAUACUUGGUACAUGAGCCUUGCCGUGAGUGGUCGUGCAACGGUGACCUCGACGAGCAGGGCAAUGUCCAGACACGAGUAAGGCACCAAAGAUGACUGGAAGCACUCAAAAAAGUUUACCACGCUGGAGCUAUGUCAGGUUGUAUGAGGGCAGUUAAUGAAUAUACUUGCGACCCUUUUACUCUCA